CCGUUUGAUUUCAUCCGGCCGCCAUAUUAAUUUACCGCUUGGCUUGUACAUACGUGCGACGAAAUAGAACGGCCUUUCUUUAAUGUGACGCCAUUUUAAGUGUGUGAUAGGGGAAUAAAAUUAAGUGAAAACAAUAAUAAAAUAGAUCAAAAUGAGUUACGGAAGGCCACCGCCGCGGAUUGACGGCAUGGUGUCGCUCAAAGUGGAUAAUUUGACCUAUAGAACGACGCCUGAAGAUCUUCGUCGCGUGUUCGAAAGAUGCGGAGAUGUCGGUGAUAUCUAUAUUCCUAGAGACCGGUACACAAGAGAAAGCCGUGGAUUUGCAUUUGUCAGGUUUUUCGACCGACGUGAUGCGGAAGAAGCGUUAGAUUCCCUGGAUGGACGCAUGCUGGAUGGCAGGGAGUUGCGCGUGCAGAUGGCCCGCUAUGGGCGUCCGUCUUCGCCAUAUAGAAGCCGAUACGAUCGUCGACGCAGGUCCCGAUCCCGUUCGCGGAGGCGUUCGUACUCGCGUAGCCGUAGCCGCAGCCGUUCGCGGUCCCGGUCGCGCUCUGACUCCAAGAGCUCGCGUGGCCGCUCUCGCAGCCGCAGCCGCUCGCGAUCCCGCUCCAGGCACUGAGAUAUUGGUUGAGUGAGAGAGUACCGUUAGUGAGCUGAAGUGCUGUUACCACAUGACUGAGCAGCCUUUAGCAAAGGGCGUGAGGAGAGCGCGGGGAGCGAGGCUGUAUGCGGGGAGGGGUGUGGGUUGUUGCUGUUGUUUGCGGUUGCUGACAACUGCUGAAUUGCUGUUUUUGCAGAAUGAAAGUUAUGAGUAAACAUUUAUAUUAUUGACGAGCCGAGACACGCAUUAAAUAGGAACAUUAAACACAUUAACAAAAAUGAAGACUUCAACUUUGAGGUAACAAGUGGUUCUGAUUGCCCGUAAAACAAUGUAUAGAUUCAUUUUAAUCCAUACAUACUAUUAUAUACAAUACUUUGCAGUUAAGUUUGAAAAUGUCAGCACGGCAAUUAUCCAUAAAAUUAAACUGAUUCACAUUUUGAGCUUACUAUGUUAAGUGUUAAAGAUCGAAGUAUGGAGAUGGAGGCUGAUGAGCAGAGUCCAAACUAACAUUUACAUUUGUUUGGCAGGCCGGUGCUGCUCGCUGGCCUGUUUGCUGUGGCAGUUUCCUGUUCCGAUUGCUGUGAUUUCCAGAUUUGCGCGCGUCUAGGUUUAUCGGUAAAAAAUAUAAAACCCUCCCUGCCCUCCAGACAAGAGUACAUUUUGCUAUUUAACCUCUUAAAUGAUUUUUGUACAUGGUAAGAGAAAUAGGUAUGUUUGUAAAGAUAGAAGAAAGAAGAAUCAUUACAUUCGCAGGCGCCUGGCACUGGAUUCUGUGUAGUUUUACUUACCGUCAAUAAAACUAUCUUACAUGA
rnacentral:misc_RNA from 1 species